rnacentral:rRNA from 1 species
AGAGUUUGAUCAUGGCUCAGAUUGAACGCUGGCGGCAGGCUUAACACAUGCAAGUCGAGCGGUAGCACAGGGGAGCUUGCUCCCUGGGUGACGAGCGGCGGACGGGUGAGUAAUGUCUGGGAAACUGCCUGAUGGAGGGGGAUAACUACUGGAAACGGUAGCUAAUACCGCAUAACGUCGCAAGACCAAAGAGGGGGACCUUCGGGCCUCUUGCCAUCAGAUGUGCCCAGAUGGGAUUAGCUAGUAGGUGGGGUAAUGGCUCACCUAGGCGACGAUCCCUAGCUGGUCUGAGAGGAUGACCAGCCACACUGGAACUGAGACACGGUCCAGACUCCUACGGGAGGCAGCAGUGGGGAAUAUUGCACAAUGGGCGCAAGCCUGAUGCAGCCAUGCCGCGUGUGUGAAGAAGGCCUUCGGGUUGUAAAGCACUUUCAGCGAGGAGGAAGGGGGGAACUUAAUACGUCAUCAA